AUCUCUUUGGCAGUAUGUCCACUAAAAUUGGAACAAUUCAGAGAUGAUUAGCAUGAUCCCUGUGCAAGAAUGACAUGCAAAUUCAUUAAGCACUGCUUAUUUGA